AAAUAUUAAAUCCCUAAACCUAAUCUCUAAAUCCCUAAAAAAAUCAUUCUUAUUUCUUAUUCAGUUAUUCUCCUUUUUUAAGAGUUAGCUAGGGUUUGGCGAUUUCUUCUCAUUCCUCCAUUUUUUUUGCACAAGCAGUCAAGCAGCAAGCACACAAGUUACUCGGCUCCUUCUCAUCUGGGUAACUGGUAAGUUUUCUCAUCUUCCUUUCACUUUGUUACUGUUUUUACAAAAAAAAACGGAAAUAGCCUGUACAGUUUUCACUCAGAUGUUUUCAGUUUUCUUUCGUUUCCAGUUUUCUUUCCUUUCGUUUCGUUUUCUUUCCUUUCCUUUCCUUUCGUUUCCAGUUUACGGAAAUAGCGAUUUCUUUCCUUUCGUUUUCAGUUUUCACUCAGAUGUUGAAAUCUGUAAAGUCUCGGACCUCGAGUACGGGUCUUUUAAAUCCAUCUUGUAAGGGUUCGUCCACAAUAAAAUCCCCUAUGGAGAAGAAUAUCAAUGGGCUCACUUGUUUCUUUCACUGCAGGCUUUACCAGACACUCAGGCUCAUCAGUGGUCCAGGGUAGACGCUGAGCAACUGGUAUGCGUUUCUUUUCUUCUUCAUUUAACAUCUCUUUUAACUUCCUCUGGAAUUCCUCUUCUUUUAAUCUACUAAAAGAUAGAUUUUUGAAGACUGUUCUUGCGAUUAUGCGAUGUGUCUGCUUCAAUUGCUCUAAGAUUCUUGCCGAUGAGGUUUUUGUUCACUCAUCUCGAUUGAACACUUGGAAAACACUGUUAUUUAUUUGAAACUAACAAGUAUUACCAUGAUUCUGCAAUUGAUAGGGACAUGCUCUUUAUCUGAAUUGUUAACAAGUUUAUCAGAGUCAGUUACUGAACAUAUGGAAGUUUGGAACCACUAUUGUUGACUAAAUAAGGAUUUGAAGCUAUUUAUAGAAUUCAUAGGAUUUGUGAUGGACAUUGUACUUAGAUAAAUACUUUGGAUUUAGGGUAUUGCUCUAAAUAUGAUAGUGUUUGAUGUCAAGGGAUUCCAUUAGAGAAAUGAAAGAUGGAAUAUAUAAUGGAAGGAAAGAAUAGAUAACGCGUAAGAAAAAUUGAAAAAUGUAGCUAGUUAGCUUCCUCACCUUUAUAUUCAAUUUCAGUGUUUAUUUUUUUUAAAGAAGUGAACAACAAAAUGAUUUUUUCUGAAGACCUUUUAUUCUGGUCAUUAUUGAAUAAAAUGUUGCAAAAUCGAAGUGUUUAUAGUUUAUACUUUAUUGACACUUGACAUAAGCAUUAACUUGCUAAAUUUAUCGUUUUCGUUGUCUUUUAUUUAUUUAUAUAUUUUCUUUGUUCUGUUUGCCACAUCUUUUACUUUAUUGCUUCUUUGCCUUUGUAGGAUGAUACUAGAUUCAAACAGGCCCUUUUAGUAUUGUUGAGCAACUGGAAGCUUUUUCCAGGCUCUAGAAAGAUAGAUAAAAGAGCAGAAGAGUGGUUCAAAAUUCAAAAACCCUUUAAUGGUUUAGAGUUUAGAAUUUAAGAUUUAGAAUUCUUACAUUGCGACGGCUUUAAUCAUUUAAAUAAUAAGAUGGUAAGUAAAUUGUGAAUAUUAAUUAUGUUGGAAUUUAUUUUUAUAUUUCCUAUUUGAAUAUUGGUUUGUUUAUUCUUAAACAGGUGUUCAAUGGACGAUGGUUAACCUGUUCGAUAUCUCUAUGGAUGAUUGGAUGAUCUGGAAAUUAUAAAAUGAAGCUUAGAAUAUGUUAAAAAUUUAAAUUAUGUUGGAUUGAUUGUUAAGUACUAUUUUUAAAUUAUGUUGGAUGGAUACUUGUUAUGUUAAAUUGUGUUGGACACUUGGAUACUUGGAUUUAAUAUUUACAGUUUUUUUUUAAUAUUACAGGGUUUUUUUAACAAAAAUAAAAUAAAAUAUUAUUU
rnacentral:lncRNA from 1 species